rnacentral:lncRNA from 1 species
CUUCAAGAAAUACAGGAUCAACUUACAGCUACUAUAAGAUGUACUAAGGAGAUGGAAGGCUUGAAGUAGAAAAUGCCAUGAUGAUAAAAACUAUUAUAAAACAGGAUGACCAAAUUGAGCGGCUUGAGAAAAUCCUGCAGCGUUCAAGUUUGAUGCCACAGGUGUUCAAGAGCUAGAUGAAGAUAUCAACCUAUGAAUUGCCUCUACCAAAAAGCCUACAAUAUUGACACAAACCUAGGCUAGUAUCCCUUCUAUGUCUUCCAAUAAGUGCUGUCUUAUGCCUGUCAUUGUAUGUAUGACUCUGUAUGGGAAUUGCCUGUUUGUUUUUUCAGAUUAUAGCAUACAGUUGUUGAGGGGUGGACCAUAUCAUCUUUUUCUUGUAAUUCCAGUGCUUGUCCUAGUACCUUAGCACAUGGUUGCUGAAUACAUGAAUGAAGAGUGAGAAACCAGAAGCUCUGAUAUUUAACUGCUGUGAUAAUGAAUUCAGUGUGCAACUAUGGGCAAAUUAUAUUUAAUAGUAAUUGCAUAUUGUACAUAUUUUUCAUUCUUAUUAACACUGAUAAACUUUUCAACUUAUACUGACUUUAAUAAAAUUGUAUUACUAGGCUAUUAACAUGAUAUUUUGUUUCCCAUUAAAUG